GACAGAGGGUGCAAACGUUGUUCGGAAUUACUGGGCGUAAAGCGCGUGUAGGCUGCUCUGCAAGUCGGGUGUGAAAGCCCCUGGGCUCAACCUAGGAAGUGCACUCGAAACUGCGGAGCUGGAGUUCUGGAGAGGAAGGCGGAAUUCUCGGUGAGAGGUGAAAUUCGUAGAUAUCGAGAGGAACACCGGUGGCGAAGGCGGCCUUCUGGACAGUGACUGACGCUGAGACGCGAAAGCGUGGGGAGCAAACAGG
rnacentral:rRNA from 1 species